rnacentral:rRNA from 1 species
ACUGCUCAGUAACACGUGGACAACCUGCCCUUAGGUUGGGUAUAAACCCGGGAAACUGGGUAUAAUACCCGAUAGGUCUCGAUUGCUGGAAUGCAUCGAGAUUUAAAGCUCCGGCGCCUAAGGAUGGUUCUGCGGCCUAUCAGGUAGUAGUGGGUGUAGCGUACCUACUAGCCUACGACGGGUACGGGUUGUGAGAGCAAGAGCCCGGAGAUGGAUUCUGAGACACGAAUCCAGGCCCUACGGGGUGCAGCAGGCGCGAAAACUUUACGAUGCUGGCAACAGCGAUAAGGGAACCUCGAGUGCCAGGUUACAAAUCUGGCUGUCGAGAUGCCUAAAAAGCAUUUCAUAGCAAGGGCCGGGCAAGACCGGUGCCAGCCGCCGCGGUAACACCGGCGGCUCGAGUGGUAACCGUUAUUAUUGGGUCUAAAGGGUCUGUAGCCGGCCGGAUAAGUCUCUUGAGAAAUCUGGCAGCUUAACUGUCAGGCUUUCAGGAGAUACUGUCUGGCUCGAGGCCGGGAGAGGUGAGAGGUACUUCAGGGGUAGGGGUGAAAUCUUGUAAUCCUUGAAGGACCACCAGUGGCGAAGGCGUCUCACCAGAACGGACCUGACGGCAAGGGACGAAAGCUAGGGGCACGAACCGGAUUAGAUACCCGGGUAGUCCUAGCCGUAAACGAUACUCGCUAGGUGUCUGCCACGGUGCGACCGUUGUCGGUGCCGUAGGGAAGCCGUGAAGCGAGCCACCUGGGAAGUACGGUCGCAAGGCUGAAACUUAAAGGAAUUGGCGGGGGAGCAC